rnacentral:misc_RNA from 1 species
AAGUCGUAACAAAGUUUCCUUGUAACCCGCGUAGUUCGCAAUCUCUGAUAAAUCAUAGCCCGGAAAGUUGUAGUAAUUCAGAGGCUACGUGCGAAUAUUGGAACAGUUACAAUCGAGCGGUAGUUCUAUAGGCAAUGUUUCCCCAAGCAGUCAGUGUCGGAAAGUGUCAUUGAUUGUGCAAGGAUAGCGCUUCUACGAUUCCUGUAGACCGUACACUCGGGCAGGAGCUUUGCCAAAGGGUCCCCAUGCCCCCUAAUAACCCCACAGUUUAAUGUGAAGCUCAAUGUAAUACAUUGGGUAAAAAAACCGAACAACUGUUAACAAUGGAUAUCUUGGUUCUC